rnacentral:rRNA from 1 species
GACGAACGCUGGCGGCGUACCUAAUACAUGCAAGUAGAACGCUGAAGGAGGAGCUUGCUCUUCUGGAUGAGUUGCGAACGGGUGAGUAACGCGUAGGUAACCUGCCUGGUAGCGGGGGAUAACUAUUGGAAACGAUAGCUAAUACCGCAUAAUAGUAGAUGUUGCAUGACAUUUACUUGAAAGGUGCAAUUGCAUCACUACCAGAUGGACCUGCGUUGUAUUAGCUAGUUGGUGGGGUAACGGCUCACCAAGGCGACGAUACAUAGCCGACCUGAGAGGGUGAUCGGCCACACUGGGACUGAGACACGGCCCAGACUCCUACGGGAGGCAGCAGUAGGGAAUCUUCGGCAAUGGACGGAAGUCUGACCGAGCAACGCCGCGUGAGUGAAGAAGGUUUUCGGAUUGUAAAGCUCUGUUGUAAGAGAAGAACGAGUGUGAGAGUGGAAAGUUCACACUGUGAC